rnacentral:rRNA from 1 species
GAUGAACGCUGGCGGCGUGCCUAAUACAUGCAAGUCGAGCGAACAGACGAGGAGCUUGCUCCUCUGACGUUAGCGGCGGACGGGUGAGUAACACGUGGAUAACCUACCUAUAAGACUGGGAUAACUUCGGGAAACAGGAGCUAAUACCGGAUAAUAUAUUGAACCGCAUGGUUCAAUAGUGAAAGACGGUUUUGCUGUCACUUAUAGAUGGAUCCGCGCCGCUUUAGCUAGUUGGUAAGGUAACGGCUUACCAAGGCAACGAUGCGUAGCCGACCUGAGAGGGUGAUCGGCCACACUGGAACUGAGACACGGUCCAGACUCCUACGGGAGGCAGCAGUAGGGAAUCUUCCGCAAUGGGCGAAAGCCUGACGGAGCAACGCCGCGUGAGUGAUGAAGGUCUUCGGAUCGUAAAACUCUGUUAUUAGGGAAGAACAAAUGUGUAAGUAACUAUGCACGUCUUGACGGUACCUAAUCAGAAAGCCACGGCUAACUACGUG